rnacentral:misc_RNA from 1 species
UUUUUAUUUUAUAUUUUAAACAUUGAUUUUAUUUUUUAUGUUUUUAGAUGUUCAUUUUUUUGAAUCUUUUAUUCAAAUAAUAUAAAAAAUAAAAUAUAUAUUGACAUGGAUUAAACAAAGAUAUAUAUUAUUCUAUGUUGCAUAAACAAAUUGGCAAAAUAGAGAUGGAAGAUAAAAAUAU